rnacentral:rRNA from 1 species
UACGUAGGGUGCGAGCGUUGCCCGGAUUUAUUGGGCGUAAAGGGCGCGCAGGCGGCCACGCACGUCCGUUGUGAAAUCGCUCGGCUCAACUGGGCGGGGUCAGCGGAUACGGCGUGGCUGGAGCAAGCUAGGGGGCAAUGGAAUUCCCGGUGUAGUGGUGGAAUGCGCAGAUAUCAGGAGGAACACCGGUGGCGAAGGCGGGUCUCUGGGCAGUAACUGACGCUGAGGAGCGAAAGCGUGGGGAGCGAACAGG